ensembl:lncRNA
UGUGAAAUUUAUCAUUUAUUUAAUAUAGCGCUUACAUCCAUGAUGAUACUUUUUAAGUUUACGUUAUCGAUUAUCAGCAUGGCCAUAUCUUCAUGAAUAUAUCUUAGAUUUUCUCUGAAAGCUUGGCCAAAAUAAGACUAUGUGUUUUCUCCGUGUUCUCCACAGCCAAGGACAAGUUGGAAGCAGCACCUGGCAGCCAAGUCAGAUGAAUGGAGUUACAUGACUUCCUGGGGGAGACAAGUACUGAGAGUCUGUCACGGGCAUGGCACUGAAUGGCUCAGAAGUAUAAAUGGAGAGUUCAUCUCCUUAAGUCGUCUCUACACCCAGUGCGGGGUCCGAACCCACAACCCUGCGAUCCAGUUGCAUGCUCCACCGACUGAGCCAGCUGGGCGCCCUGGAAGUUAUGUUCUGAUAUGCACUCAGNNNNNNNNNNNNNNNNNNNUGUAUCACUGCGGGCCAGUCUCUCCUAACAGUCCUGACCCAAGGUGGCCCAGUCUCAUGUCAGUGUCCCUGGCGAUCGCACAGUGUAUGUUUGAAUGAUGCUUCUUUUGGCAUCCUUGUAACUUUGGCUUGUCUUGGUCUUUAGAUUGAAAUUGUAUUUUGUAAACUCCUAAGUCAGGUGGGUUUUUUUUUUUCUUUUUACUCCAAGUUUCUGGCUUCUAAUUGUAGUGUCCCGUGCAUUUACAUUUAUUAUAACGAUUGACACAGUGGGUUUAAAAUCCCUACCUCGUACUAUAUUUGUUCCAUCUGAUCUUCUUGCCUUCUUUCUUGCCGCUAUUGGACGAUUCGUAUAUUUUUAAAAUUCUAUUUAUCUCCUCUAUUGUAUUUUUUAUAUAUAGGCUAUUAUAUAACAUUAUAUGUAAUAUAUACAUUUAUACUUACUUAGUGGCUGAGCUAGAAAUUACCACAGUUCACUUUGAAAUCAUACAGCAUCUGAUCAGCCACAUAAGAACCUUGAAACAGUGAAAUAACACCGACUUUACGUCCUAACCUUUUGUUCUCUGGCAAUCAUAUUUUUUUUUUAAAGAUUUUAUUUAUUUACCUGACAGAGAUAGAGACAGCCAGCGAGAGAGGGAACACAAGCAGGGGGAGUGGGAGAGGAAGAAGCAGGCUCAUAGCAGAGGAGCCUGAUGUGGGGCUCGAUCCCAUAAUGCCGGAAUCACGCCCUGAGCCGAAGGCAGACGCCCAACGACUGUGCCACCCAGGCGCCCCUGGCAAUCAUAUUUUUUAUUUUUCAGGGUUGCAUGGUCUCACCUGGUAGCCACUAGCCACGUGUGGCGAUUUAAACAUCAAGUUACAUUAAUUAUAACCAAGUACCACUUUAAAGUUCGGCUCCCUAGUCACACUAGCCACACUGGCAGUGCCCGCGAGCCCCCUGGGGACACGGCUCCCCUACUGGACACGUGCUGGGACAGGACACUCCCAGUAUAUGGCAGGGAAUGAGCACCCCCGACACGUGACUUUAAAUUUUGCUUUAAGCAUUCAUCCAAUAAUUUUUAAAGAAAUUAUUUUAGGGGCACCUGGGUGGCUCAGUCGGUGAAGCGUCUGCCUUCAGUUCAGGUCACUAUCCUGGGGUCCUGGGAUCGAGCCCCACAGCGGGCUCCCUGCUCCAUGGGGAGUCUGCUUCUCCCUCUCCCCCUGCCGCUCCCCCUGCUUGUGCACUCUCUGUCAAAUAAAUAAAAUCUUUUUAAAAAUAGGUAAAUUAUU